rnacentral:rRNA from 1 species
UACGUAGGGUGCGAGCGUUGUCCGGAAUUAUUGGGCGUAAAGGGCUCGUAGGCGGUGUGUCGCGUCGGCCGUGAAAACCUGCAGCUUAACUGUGGGCGUGCGGUCGAUACGGGCAUCACUGGAGUUCGGCAGGGGAGACUGGAAUUCCUGGUGUAGCGGUGAAAUGCGCAGAUAUCAGGAGGAACACCGGUGGCGAAGGCGGGUCUCUGGGCAACAACUGACGCUGAGGAGCGAAAGCGUGGGGAGCGAACAGG